UUCUCAUACCUGUGGCCACAAGAAGUCCAC
rnacentral:piRNA from 1 species